CCCUUAGAUGUCCUGGGCUGCACGCGCGCUACACUGAUGUGUCCAGUAAGCACCUAACCUCUUCCGAAAGGAACGGGUAACCUUUGCAAAGCACAUCGUGAUGGGGAUAGAUUAUUGCAAUUAUUAGUCUUGAACGAGGAAUUCCUAGUAAGCACAAGUCAUCAGCUUGUGUUGAUUACGUCCCUGCCCUUUGUACACACCGCCCGUCGCUCCUACCGAUUGAACGGUUUAGUGAGGGCCUCGGAUUGGUCUCGGCCCGCUCUUUACCGGGCGGCGCCGUUGGUCGAGAAGACGCUCGAACUUGAUCGUUUAGAGGAAGUAAAAGUCGUAACA
rnacentral:rRNA from 1 species